ACGGAGGGUGCAAGCGUUAUCCGGAUUCACUGGGUUUAAAGGGUGCGUAGGCGGGUAGGUAAGUCAGUGGUGAAAUCCUGGAGCUCAACUCCAGAACUGCCAUUGAUACUAUUUAUCUUGAAUAUUGUGGAGGUAAGCGGAAUAUGUCAUGUAGCGGUGAAAUGCUUAGAUAUGACAUAGAACACCUAUUGCGAAGGCAGCUUACUACGCAUAUAUUGACGCUGAGGCACGAAAGCGUGGGGAUCAAACAGGAUUAGAUACCCUGGUAGUCCACGCCCUAAACUAUGAUUACUCGACAUUUGUGAUACACAAUAAGUGUCUGAGCGAAAGCAUUAAGUAAUCCACCUGGGAAGUACGUCCGCAAGGAUG
rnacentral:rRNA from 1 species